ACUCCUACGGGAGGCAGCAGUGGGGAAUAUUGGACAAUGGGGGGAACCCUGAUCCAGCCAUGCCGCGUGUGUGAAGAAGGCCUUAUGGUUGUAAAGCACUUUAAGCGAGGAGGAGGCUACUAGUAUUAAUACUACUGGAUUAGUGGACGUUACUCGCAGAAUAAGCACCGGCUAACUCUGUGCCAGCAGCCGCGGUAAUACAGAGGGUGCGAGCGUUAAUCGGAUUUACUGGGCGUAAAGCGUGCGUAGGCGGCCAUUUAAGUCAAAUGUGAAAUCCCCCGAGCUUAACUUGGGAAUUGCAUUCGAUACUGGAUGGCUAGAGUAUGGGAGAGGGAUGGUAGAAUUCCAGGUGUAGCGGUGAAAUGCGUAGAGAUCUGGAGGAAUACCGAUGGCGAAGGCAGCCAUCUGGCCUAAUACUGACGCUGAGGUACGAAAGCAUGGGGAGCAAACAGGAUUAGAUACCCUGGUA
rnacentral:rRNA from 1 species